rnacentral:rRNA from 1 species
CACGUAGGAGGCGAGCGUUGUCCGGAAUCAUUGGGCGUAAAGAGCGCGCAGGCGGCUUGGCAAGUCGGGUGUGAAAUCCCGGGGCUCAACCCCGGGACUGCAUUCGAUACUGUCAGGCUAGAGGUAGGUAGGGGAGAUCGGAAUUCCUGGUGUAGCGGUGAAAUGCGCAGAUAUCAGGAGGAACACCGGUGGCGAAGGCGGAUCUCUGGGACAACACUGACGCUGAAGCACGAAAGCGUGGGGAGCAAACAGG